rnacentral:rRNA from 1 species
AGGACGAACGCUGGCGGCGUGCUUAACACAUGCAAGUCGAGCGAUGAAGCUCCUUCGGGAGUGGAUUAGCGGCGGACGGGUGAGUAACACGUGGGCAACCUGCCUGUAGAGAGGAAUAGCCAUUCGAAAGGAUGAUUAAUACCUCAUAAUAUUGUAGCUUCGCAUGAAGCAACAACCAAAGGAGCAAUCCACUACAAGAUGGGCCCGCGGCGCAUUAGCUAGUUGGUGGGGUAACGGCUCACCAAGGCGACGAUGCGUAGCCGACCUGAGAGGGUGAUCGGCCACAUUGGGACUGAGACACGGCCCAGACUCCUACGGGAGGCAGCAGUGGGGAAUAUUACACAAUGGGGGAAACCCUGAUGCAGCAAACCGCCGCGUGAGUGAUGACGGUCUUCGGAUUGUAAAGCUCUGUCUUCAGGGACGAUAAUGACGGUACCUGAGGAGGAAGCCACGGCUAACUACGUGCCAGCCGCUGC